UGGGGAAUAUUGGGCAAUGGGCGCAAGCCUGACCCAGCAACGCCGCGUGAAGGAAGAAGGCUUUCGGGCUGUAAACUUCUUUUAAGAGGGAAGAGCAGAAGACGGUACCUCUAGAAUAAGCCACGGCUAACUACGUGCCAGCAGCCGCGGUAAUACGUAGGUGGCAAGCGUUGUCCGGAUUUACUGGGUGUAAAGGGCGUGCAGCCGGGUCUGCAAGUCAGAUGUGAAAUCCAUGGGCUCAACCCAUGAACUGCAUUUGAAACUGUAGAUCUUGAGUGUCGGAGGGGCAAUCGGAAUUCCUAGUGUAGCGGUGAAAUGCGUAGAUAUAUGGAGGAACACCAGUGGCGAAGGCGACGGUCUGGGCCGCAACUGACGCUCAUUCCCGAAAGCGUGGGGAGCAAAUAGGAUUAGAUACCCUGGUAGU
rnacentral:rRNA from 1 species